rnacentral:tRNA from 1 species
GCCCGAUUAGCUCAGCUGGUUAGAGCGUCGUACUAAUACCGGGAAACCCGUAUAAGGUAUGCGAAGGUCAACAGUUCAAUCCUGUUAUUGGGCA